GUAUUGUAUGAAAGGAGAGAGGGUUAGCACUCCCCUUGACAAGGAUGGAAGAGGCCCUUGGGCCUGCCCACACGUACAUGGUCAAGGCAUUGCCACCUACUUCCUGACAUCUAACCAUUGCUUUUA
rnacentral:ncRNA from 1 species